AACCUGUGGUUGUGUCUGUUUUCCACCACUGAGUUUGGGAACGGUUUGUUAUGCAGCGUCAGAUGACAGAGACAUAAGGCACAGCCUUUGCCCUGUGAGAGCUUACAAACUUCCGAUGAUUUCAUGUGUUGUUCUAUACCCUUUUUACAAAUUUAUCUUCUAUAUAUAAAUAUGCUGGAAUUCGGAUUGCAGUAGGUACCCUAACUGAUGCAGCCACUGAAGACAAUUUUGCUAAGAAGUGUCUGGAUAAGUCCUCAUUUUACCAAGACUCCUUUGGCUGUGAUUCGGAGAAUGCUUGGGAGAGAGGGAACACCAGGAGGCAGGGAGACCAGUUAGGAGGCCACUGAGAGGAGGAUUAUGUCAACCUGGCAGUGGGAGAGGGAAAAUAAGUACUUUGGGAAAAUACUGACGAUAGGUAUUGAUGAUAGACUUUAUAGGUCUUGGUGACAGAGAGAGUAAGAGAGAGGUAGGGAAUAGCGAGGAUCUCCAGGUUUCGGACUCGAUCAGUUGGAUGGAUGGAAGUUCCAGUUAUAGAGAUCGAGAACCCUGGAGACAGAAGGGGGAAUAUUAUCUUCCUUCUCUCUUUCAUGGGUGACAGUACUGAGCAGUUGCUGGCUUCGAAUCUACCUCCAAUCUGUCCUUCGACCUUGGGAGAUCCGAAGCAUGUCUGAUCAGAUCACAUGGCUACUUAAGACCCUUCAAGGCAUUUCCAUUCUUUUAAGAUGAAUCUAUGAUCCUCAGUGACUUGCUCCUUAGUCCUCCAGCCUCCCUCCGAAACCUUGCAAUUUCCAGGAACGGGCAGGUUCCACUGUGCCCCGGGCUUUUGCCUAUUUCCAGACCUCUGCUCCCACAAUUCAUUUUGUCUGCAUCAUCCUUCUCCUCUUCUUCACUUGGCUGAUUCUGUGGUCAAAAUUCAGUCAUCACCUCCUCCAGCAACUUUCUCAUCUCAGAGUAGGUGUCAAUCCCUCCAGAUCCGAGAAUACCCUCUAUUUACUUCUGGAGCCGCCCCACUCAGAUUCCAUUGUAAUGGCCUGUUUAUGUGUCUGGCUCUCCCUCUGGACUGAGAAUUCCCAGAGUAUUCGUGUCCUCAGAGCUGGCUCAGAGCUGGGCUAGGGCUUUUCCCUUGCAUGACCUCAUUUCUUAGCUGUACUCUUAUUGUCAGCAUUUUUACUAUUGUUGUUGCUUCUCCUUUUGAAACUGGGUGCUGCUGGGGUAACACUGUCCAAAUGAAUUUGUAAACAUACUUAAGAAAAAACAGACAACAAACAACAUUUCAGAAUCGAAAAGCAAAAUCAAAAAAGAGGCCCCAAGUUUAUACACAACUUCCUGUGGUAAUGAUUUAAGCGAGAGAACAAUUAGUCCCCGGGUAGUUUAACAACCCAAACAAGUCCCAGGGGACAUAUGGAGAGUCUAAGGAGUGUGAAAUUGCACAGAAAGACUGCAGAGCUUCAGCAGAAAGCAGCUUCCAGAGCUAAGACAGCCUGGCUUGUCCCUACUUCCUCGAUCCCAGACCCCUUGCCUGAACUGCUUGCAGGGUGGGGCUCCGUAUUGACACCAAACACUCAGGGGGCAACGCCCCAGGCCCCAUCCUAGGGCUGUGUCUUGGGCUGCAGAGCGGUGCCUGCAGAGAAGUUCGACAGAGCCCAGUACUGUUGGUCCCACAGAAAAAAGAUUCCCCCCCAAAAGCUCCCACUGUCCCAUCCCUGACCUUCCUCCAGGACCCUUAGUGACAGAUUUGGGAGAUUAGAGUUGGGCACAGAUGCCAUGAGAUCCCAUCGUUAGCACUGCAGGCACUGUAACCACAGGGCAGGGCUGGAAAGAGGAGGCUGCAAAAUGCCAGCUGGGACAAGGCCAGUGACACAGAGGUGAACCGUGCAGGGGUGAGGCAGUAGAGAAUGGUGGGGUGUGAGGCUAAUUAGGGUGCCCUGCUCCAUCUAAAUGUAUUAACUACAACUCAGCUGCUACUGAUUUUUGCCAUAAGGGAAAACUGGGUCAAGGAUGCCAGAUCUUUUCAAGUUUCUUCAGCUGUACCCAGAAAUUGGAAUUUUAAUGUGAAAUCUCCCAAUUUUAAAUAUUGAACAUAUAUCUGCAAAAUUUUAAAAACCUUUUGCCAAGCAAAGCACAGGCCCACAGGUGUCCAGUGGGUGGCCUCUUUUCUAUGGACAGCAUAUGAUCAAGCUUUAAUCCAUAUUCGAAUGUGUGCUACUGCAGAAGCCUUCCCAGUUCUGGGUUAUUGAUAAAUCCACAGGUAGAAAGAAGCAGUGGAAAGAUUUGGGGAGUCAGGAAAAAAAAUGAUCUUGAAUCUCAGCUCCAGGUAGAUGGUUUUCACUGAGCUUUACUUUUCACAUCUGUAAAAUGGGGAUAAUGGUUGGUUGGUUGCCCGCCAGCUGCUAUCCCCUACCCCUACCCCUGAUUGGUUCCUGCUAAUAGGGAGCAAUUUUGUUCAGGCAUUGAGGGAGCAGCAGUGAGCUUACUGCACUUAAUUGAGAGAGGACUAUGCCUGUUGAUGGAGAAACCUUAUGUAUCAAGCAAAGCUGAUAGACCUUAUUUUCUUUCAUUCUGUCUUCAUUUUCAUCUGAAGACAUCUGAAAAGGUCUAUCAUCCAUACCCAGCCCAAGCUGAUACAGGUCCUGUUUGAACUAACAGUGUGAAAUACACCUGGAGCACUUCUCUCAAAAAAAUCUUCAUUAUGUAAAUGGAAAGGCCAGUGAAAUUUCCACCAUGUAACUUCCCAUAGAACCUCUCGCUUCUGGCAGGUUUGAGAAACCUCCAUGAAAUGUUCGGUGUGGAACUGGCUUCUACCUUCAGGACACACUGUCAGUUCAAAACUUUGGUAAAUUUUAUCGAUGGAGACGCAGCUCUGAUUUUGCAGUGUCAAGACCUGUGAUCAUGAAUUUUUCUGUAGAGCUUUUUUUUUUUUUUUUUUUUUUUUUGUUUUUUCCGUAAUGGUUGCAAACUGCUGACUUUCCUCAACCUCAUGGUUCCUAGUCGGAUUCGUUUCUGCUGUGCCACGACAGGAACUCCUAGAGCUCUUUUCAAAGGCCUCCCAAGGCGGUGAUUUGGGGCUUCUCUCAUUUACAGGUGAUCCUCCUAGUCAUACCCAGAAACCUGCAUAACUAUUUACCCUUCCCUCUCCUCACAGUGGAGUCUCUUCAAAGCUUCCCUCCUAGACCUGCCUCAGGGGCUCCCGGCUUGCUGUCGCCUUAUGACCAUGACCUUUCUUUUUUUCCUUUUCACUGAUGGCUCCAGUCUUACUUCCUAUGAAUCCUUUUCCUAGGCCCAAGGCCUCCACACUUCCCGUGUUCAGGCUGUGCUGGUCUUUUCUGCCCAACCGAAAGGGCUCAAGGGGAGGUGGUGUGGCUCAGUAGAAACAUCCUGGCAAAAGAGACCUGAAGACGUACCCCUGCCCCGCUCCCAGUCCAGCUCUGGUCCUCUCUCAGUGGAGCCCGCAGGUCAAGGAGCCAGCUUCUCUGACGCUAACAUGCAUAUCCAUCACCUGGGGAUAUUGCUAAAAGGCUGAUUCUGUCUAGAGUGGGGCCUGAGAUUCUGCAAGUGGUGUCAAUUCAGCCAGUCCCCCGACCACACUUUGAGUAGCCAAGUCCUAGACCUGCACUGCCCAAUAAGGCAGCCAUUAGGGGCUGAAUGACUUUCAAGCCCCUGCAGUGCGGCUGGACCUGGGAUAUGCUGCCAGGAUUUCAAAGACUUAAUACCAAAAAAAAAAAAAAAAAAAAAAAA
rnacentral:lncRNA from 1 species